GUGCAGUAUUACUCUUGUGCAUCAUUCUUUGCAGGUCAGUAUGAGGACCCUGUGCCAGUGGUGGACUGCACCUGCUCCACAUCAUGGACGCCUACUUUAAAGGACAUCUUGGACCGUGGCUAUUGCUCAGGAAAUCUGAAUGCCAAUACCCUCUCUGAAGCAGGUGUAACCGGUGUAACUUCUGCGUUGUGUAUAUAUAUGUGACCCGUGGACAACAGUUGCUGAGAUGGAUAUUUAUUUCUGUUAAAGCACACCAACAGAAACCGUUUGUUCCAGGACCCUUGGGGCUACUAUUGCAAAUGUACCAGGAUGAAAUCUUCACGGCAGUCAUCUGUCACUGUAUCCAGCAGAUCUAUUGCCACAGAAAAUGUUGUAGCUGCAAACAAAAGCAGUUUCUCUUCAGGAUGAGUCACAGUGGUCUGACAUUAUUUCUGCCUCUGCCACUGGUGUGA
rnacentral:lncRNA from 1 species